rnacentral:rRNA from 1 species
UACGUAGGGUGCAAGCGUUGUCCGGAAUUAUUGGGCGUAAAGAGCUCGUAGGCGGUCUGUCGCGUCGAAUGUGAAAACCCGGGACUCAACUCCGGGCCUGCAUUCGAUACGGGCAGACUAGAGUUCGGUAGGGGAGACUGGAAUUCCUGGUGUAGCGGUGAAAUGCGCAGAUAUCAGGAAGAACACCCGUGGCUAAGGCGGUUCUCUAGUACGGUACUGACGCUGAGACGCGAAAGCGUGGGGAGCGAACAGG